GGAGUCUCCUCUCUCUUCUUGGGUUGGUCAAAUCGAAGCAAGGAAGAUGGACGAGGAAGAAAGCAAAGGCGAGAAGGGAUUGCAAGUGAACGAUUACGUCGUUGGCUCCUUGCGUACCGUCAUCUACAUCCCCAACUUCAUUUCCGAAUCCGAGCAAUCGCAGCUCCUCCGCCACAUCUACGAGGUGCCCGCAUCCCGAUGGAAAUCUUUGAAGAACAGGAGAUUGCAGAACUGGGGCGGGGUGGUGCAUGAGAAAGGUCUGCUACCGCAAGCUUUGCCAUCUUGGCUCACCAAGAUAACCCAGAGAAUAGGUCAACAGACAGGGUUGUUUCCAUCGCCCAUCAACCAUGUGCUCAUUAACGAAUAUCUUCCAGAUCAAGGGAUCAUGCCACACCAAGAUGGUCCUGCAUACUUUCCUGUUGUUGCAAUUUUAUCUCUUGAAUCACCUAUAACAAUUGAUUUCACUCCCCACCCGAGAUCAAAAGAAUUUGAAAUUCCAGUGGAAAACAAGGAUUCAACUCUCUAUGAAGCAGUUAGUGGUCAGAUCGAUAGUCCGUCCACUGAAUCAAUAGGCAGCCCAAAAGAUGAACACCAUCAAUUUUCUGUUCUCUUGAUGCCCUGCAGUUUAUUGAUAUUCAAAGAUCAAGCCUAUACAGAUUAUCUUCACGGGAUAGAAGAUUCUGAGUCACUUAGUUUAGAUAAGACAUGCCAAAAAACUCUACAGCAAAUCUUCUCAUUCAGGGGAAGAAAAGAAGCAUCAAAAGUUAUGGCAAACAAUACCAGGAAGAGGAACUGCAACCAAAGAGAGAAUCCAUGAGAAGCACAAGAGUGUGCAGAGACAAAUCGCAGGUUUCCUCUGAUCCAUGUUGGCAAGAGGCUUCCUCCUGUUUCAGAUUCUGCAGAUAUUCCAUCAGUUUUUUCACAUGGAUGCAUAUGGUGAGAACAUCUCAAAAGUGGCAUUGUUGGAGAAACCAUGUGCAUACUCCAUAAACCAUGUUUUGGCAGGGCACACAGCAUGCAGACUGACAGACAGAGAUCAUAAGCAUAAUUUGUAUGAAUCUGAUAAAUUUCUUCUUUAUCUGAAUGAUUUUUGUAGUGUGCUGAGCCCAUCUCCUACAUGAAUUCCUUAGAAAGGCAGAUGAUCUUUGUAGCUUCAUGUGUUAUACAACUUUGUAUCAUGCUUUCUUAGCUUUUUAGAUGGUAAGAAAACCCAAACAGGUAUUUGGA